GAAAGUUGUCCAUGGACUGCCACCUACACCACAAGUACAUAUGGGGGCCUGCUUCUCUAAAGUAUUCAACGGCUGUCCGUUAAAGACUCAAUGUGCUGUUACAUGGGUUCUACCAAAGACGAGAGAUCAAUACCUUAUGCUGGGUGCUGAGGAGGGCAUCUACACUCUCAACCUCAAUGAGCUCCAUGAGGACACCAUGGAAAAGUUGCUUCCUCAGAGAUGCAGUUGGUUGUACGUGAUGAACAAUGUCCUUAUGUCC